UACGGAGGGUGCGAGCGUUGUCCGGAAUCAUUGGGCGUAAAGGGCGCGUAGGUGGCCCGGUCAGUUCGUGGUGAAAGCGCGGGGCUCAACCCUGCGUCGGCCAUGAAUACUGCCGCGGCUGGAGCACUGUAGAGGCAGGCGGAAUUCCGGGUGUAGCGGUGGAAUGCGUAGAGAUCCGGAAGAACACCCGUGGCGAAGGCGGUUCUCUGGGACGGUACUGACGCUGAGACGCGAAAGCGUGGGGAGCAAACAGG
rnacentral:rRNA from 1 species